UACAGAGGGUGCAAGCGUUAAUCGGAAUUACUGGGCGUAAAGCGUGCGUAGACGGUUAUGUAAGUCGGGUGUGAAAGCCCCGGGCUCAACCUGGGAAUGCCAUUCGAGACUGCAUAGCUAGGGUGCGGAAGAGGGAAGCGGAAUUUCCGGUGUAGCGGUGAAAUGCGUAGAUAUCGGAAGGAACACCAGUGGCGAAAAGCGGCUUCCUGGUCCAGCACCGACGUUCAGGCACGAAAGCGUGGGGAGCAAAC
rnacentral:rRNA from 1 species